rnacentral:tRNA from 1 species
GCCGGGAUGGCGGAAUUGGUAGACGNNGACGCGCAGGACUCAAAAUCCUGUAUGGGCAACUAUGUGCGGGUUCGAUUCCCGCUCCCGGCACCA